rnacentral:lncRNA from 1 species
UCAAAUUCUUUGCAUUGCCCUAGCAAGUUCAUCGUAAUCAAUAUGAACCGAUUGACCUUCUUCUGGCGUGUUAAAUUCGGAUGGGUUUCCAUGAGUUAAUAUAUCUCCAAGUUCUUCGUCUUCUGGGCUAUCAAGAUCUUCCUUUCCUUAAUUUCUUCGUUCUGAUCUAAUCCAAUCUCUUAAACAUACUAAAACUUCCAAAGCAUUGCUUCCCAAUGAGUGGCGUGUGUCUCCAAGUUGUUGUCUUGCUUGGCUAAAUGCANN